rnacentral:rRNA from 1 species
AAAACGACUCUCGGCAACGGAUAUCUCGGCUCUCGCAUCGAUGAAGAACGUAGCGAAAUGCGAUACUUGGUGUGAAUUGCAGAAUCCCGUGAACCAUCGAGUCUUUGAACGCAAGUUGCGCUCGAAGCCAUUAGGCUGAGGGCACGUCUGCCUGGGCGUCACAC